GGAGUCCUGAGUAGAACUUAUCCUAACCAGGCACCAUAAAGGGCCACGUCUGCAAGAGAGAAAAGGGUGGAGAGGGUGGAGAUUUAAAUGACUGCAUCCACUCCCAAGAUUUAUUGCAAGAGUGAUUGAUGUUAUAAACCAGGAAAGGACUCUUCCCACAGCAGGGAUGACAGAAAUAUCAAGUUGAAGUUGCCUUUGUCUGCAUGCAACGCGUAAGCCAGUGCUACAACACAGACAGCUUUGAGAGAACACCCACCAAGCCUGCUCGAUGGUCCCUGCAGAUUUCCAAACCAACCUUCCUUGGGUUGCACAGCCAUCUC
rnacentral:lncRNA from 1 species